UUGUGUGACCACGUGAGGUAUCGUGGACGUUUCUGUUUAGGAAACCUUUCUAAAUAUGUUUAUAAAGUGAAUCAACUUUUGAAUAUGAAGUGUUCUUAUGACGUUGUUGCUCCGAAAUGUAGUGGGAAUCUCGUGAGGAGUUCACUUUUUUACAACUACACAUAAGGCAUUCAUUUUAGGUCUAUUCAAAUCUCCGGCCGUCAUAUUACACCAGCUCCGCGCGCCCCGUUGAACAACGGCGAGUAACUGAACUUGCGUGAUGAAAGGCUGCUCAGCAGAAAAACGGCGUAAGGGACAAAUUUCGAUGGAAGAGUCCAGCAGUACAAACCUAGGUGACAGAUAUAGCCAGCUUGACUGUUGCAUGCA